UACGAAGGGGGCUAGCGUUGCUCGGAAUUACUGGGCGUAAAGGGCGCGUAGGCGGAUAUUUAAGUCAGGGGUGAAAGCCCGGGGCUCAACCUCGGAACUGCCCUUUGAUACUGGAUAUCUUGAGUUCGGGAGAGGUGAGUGGAAUGCCGAGUGUAGAGGUGAAAUUCGUAGAUAUUCGGCGGAACACCAGUGGCGAAGGCGACUCACUGGCCCGGUACUGACGCUGAGACGGCGAAAGCGUGGGGAGCAAACAGG
rnacentral:rRNA from 1 species